UACGUAUGGUGCAAGCGUUAUCCGAAUUUACUGGGUGUAAAGGGAGCGCAGGCGGAAGGCUAAGUCUGAUGUGAAAGCCCGGGGCUCAACCCCGGUACUGCAUUGGAAACUGGUCAUCUAGAGUGUCGGAGGGGUAAGUGGAAUUCCUAGUGUAGCGGUGAAAUGCGUAGAUAUUAGGAGGAACACCAGUGGCGAAGGCGGCUUACUGGACGAUAACUGACGCUGAGGCUCGAAAGCGUGGGGAGCAAACAGG
rnacentral:rRNA from 1 species